CGGCCGCGGAGGGUCAGUUUAAGGCGUGGCUGUGUGAGCAGCUCGCUGAGAGGCGGUCCCUGUAGGCCCGAAGCCUGGGACGGGCGGGUCUCACGGGCACCCCGCCUCUCUCCGGCCGCUGUGAAUGCUCUCUGAGCUCCCAUCUGCUCGAUCGCCCUCUGCAGAAGCCUCUCUAGCCGCCUUCCAGAUUCCUUUUCCAGCACAGAACCCCGCCACGGGCCAUCGCCCUGCAGCCGCCGCCUCCACUGCACAACCCAGCGAUUGUGGAGCUCGGGAGCUCUGUGUCAGGACUCAGACCCCAUUCUUGAAGAAAAGAGAAAGGUAGAAAAGAUGGUGGCUGAUUGCCUGACAAAUUGUUACCAGGUCUCAGUAACUUUUGAUGAUGUGGCUGUGGACUUCACCCAAGAAGAAUGGAUUUUAUUGGAUCAAGCUCACAGAGACCUCUACAGAGAGGUGAUGCUGGAGAAUUACCAGAACCUGGCCUCAGCAGGAUGUGAGGUCAUCAAACCCAGUCUGAUCUCCUGGUUGGAGGAAGAGGAUUUGCACAGAGAAGAUCUCCAAGGGCAGAAGCCACAGUGCACGAGAACUCUGUUACUAUACACAAUGUGGAGAAAUUUUCAGUGAACACUCAUAUUUCAAGACACAUGUGAAAACUCACAGUGCGUGGAACACCGGCCAUCUCACCCACUCAGAUCAUGAUGCCUCUGCUCAAGUACACACCAUAAAAACGUACCCGUGUAAGAUUUGUGGAAAAGCCUUUGGACGGUCUUCAAAUCUCAACAGACACCUGCGAAGCCACACUGGAGAGAAACCCUAUGAAUGUAAGGAGUGUGGGAAAGCCUUCACUACCUACUCAAGGCUAGUGGAACACUUUAGAACUCACACUGGAGAGAAACCGUAUAAAUGCAAGGAUUGUGGGAAAGCCUUUGCUAAGCGGUCAGGCCUUAUAACACAUAUAUCAACCCAUGCUUCAGAGAAACCCUUUGCAUGUAAAGAGUGUGGGAAAGCCUUUGCUUCAUCCCCACGCCUUAGUCAGCAUAUAAGAAUUCACAGUGGGGAGAGACCCUACAUAUGUAAGGAAUG
rnacentral:lncRNA from 1 species